UGCCAGCCGCCGCGGUAAUACGGAGCGUGCAAGCGUCGUUCGGAUUCACUGGGUAUAAAGGGUGCGUAGGCGGCCUGUUAAGUCAGGGGUGAAAUAUGACGGCUCAACCGUCAAACUGCCCCUGAAACUGAUAGGCUUGAGUUCGAGAGAGGUUGGUGGAAUUCCUGGUGUAGCGGUGAAAUGCGUAAAUAUCAGGAGGAACACCGGUGGCGAAGGCGGCCAACUGGCUUGACACUGACGCUGAGGCGCGAAAGCGUGGGGAGCGAACGGGAUUAGAUA
rnacentral:rRNA from 1 species